AUUGAACGCUGGCGGCAGGCCUAACACAUGCAAGUCGAGCGAGCGGCGGACGGGUGAGUAAUGUAUGGGGACUGCCCGAUAGAGGGGGGUAACUACUGGAAACGGUUGCUAAUACCGCAUACUGUCGCAUUACCCAUAUGGGAUUAGCUAGUAGGUGAGGUAAUGGCUUACCUAGGCGACGAUCCCUAGCUGGUCUGAGAGGAUGAUCAGCCACACUGGGACUGAGACACGGCCCAGACUCCUAGGGAGGCAGCAGUGGGGAAUAUGGCGCAAUGGGCGGAAGCCUGAGGCAGCCAUGCCGCGAGUAUGAAGAAGGCCCGAGGGUUGUAAAGUACUUUCAGUCGGGAGGCGUUACCGACAGAAGAAGCACCGGCUAACUCCGUGCCAGCAGCCGCGGUAAUAC
rnacentral:rRNA from 1 species